UGGUGGACUAGAUGGGGGGCUAGGCGUCCCCUGUAUUCCAAAUCGCCUAUACGGGAAAUCGAAGUCUAAGGGCGAUAUACCGACAAGCGGGUGGUCCAUGGUCCCAACUGUGAACUUUCGUCCUGCAGGGUUUCUUUGUAUGGGAACCGUGUCAGACUGGGAACAGAGCAGCACUAACCGUACCAAGGGGCGCUUACGGGGUAACGGGAGCGAGAAAGGGCAUGGGAAGCCAUUCUCUUGAAGGUGUAUCCACCUUGACGCGUCCAUCA
rnacentral:SRP_RNA from 1 species